AAGAUUAAUAUCAUCUCAGUGGUGAAAGAUGACAGACACUACUUGGAUUUGGACAGCUAACUCUAAGGCGAAACAUUCCCAUUCCCUUUGGCCCUUACAUACCAAGCAUUACAAGGGUUGUACGGGCGCAUUUUAGCAACACAAUCGGAGAUAUGGUGACGCUGCCACCACCAUCGACCCAGCCUCUGCCCUCCUAUCCAUGCCCGGUUGGUAUCCUGGUCCUCUCCUCCAGGAUAAGUCGAGUUUUAUGAAUAGGGCAGUGAGGUUACUGAAGCAUGAUAAGAGUAUUGUAAGGGAGGAUCACUUGGACAAGCGUUGGGAGGAGGCGACUGGAGAAGUUGUCGAUGAGGUCAUAUUUUUGAGCAAGCACACGGCAGCCUCAAAUCGUCCCGCACUUACUGUUCAUCCAAUUGGCAUGCCUCAUUUACGCCAAGACGAGGUGCCACCUGCAGGUGGAAAGCCCGGGUGGGCAGCACCACCUAAUCCUCGAAUAGGACCGUGUUUGUGGCUCUUGAAGGCUAUUGCUGAAUCACAUAAUCUCACUCCUGAAUUUGAGGCAGUACAGAAGAGUACUGGAAGAGGCGGGAUGCUGCCCAAGACAUUGCUUUAGAAAGGUGGUGUUUUUGUGGGCCAUCUGCUUUCUGGGUAUUCAUUGCCUAUGGAAGAUCUGGGUCAAUCUAAACAGACAAAUGUGGAGGGUGUUGGUGGAACUUGGAGAGAAGCAAUCAAAGUUGCCUGUGAGACUACAAAGGCAGCUUUUCCAGGGGGUGAAGUUAUGGCACAUCUUGAUCACAAGAGUUUCAAAAGUUGGCAAAGAAAUGCCAUUACAGGCUUUUUAGCGGAGCAGGACAUUAAAAUUGGCAAACUGAGCGACUUCUGCUGAAUUUUCCAGAAAAUUUGAAUAAUAUGAGGGAGAAGAAGAAGCUUCCAUUAGAAAAACCUCCAAGUUUCCUUCUAAUCCCACCUGAUGUGGACCACAACAAAUGGGGACUUGCCACGUGGAGAUUUUUGUCCUUAACAGUCCGGAAACAUAUAACAUCCGUACAUGGAGGAGGGUCAAUCUUUCAACUGCUUUGAAAAAACAAACAUUACCUGGUCGAAAAACAGCUCACUACUUAUAUGCAUCUGUUUUCAAUAUAUAUGACUCAAAAAACAUAAGCAAUUCAAUUGAAUUCUUGACAUAGCUUUGGCAAUGAAACAUUUGAUCUUCUUUGCCAUUGCAAUCCUUUUGCUCUCUCAAGCCACGGAGGCCAAGAAGCUCAAGCAAACCCAUGUCGAGUUCUACAUGCAUGACACGGUGGGUGGUCCGAACCCUUCUGCAGUUAGGGUAGCCGGCCGGUCCAACUUUACUGGCUCAAACCCUAUUGCAGCCAUGUUUGGAUCCAUCUACAUGAUGGACAACCCGCUCACUGUCACUCAUGCUCUGAACUCAAACGUGAUGAGCCGCGCUCAAGGGAUUUAUGGUAUGUCAUCUUAGCACGAUGAGCUUAGCCUUCUGAUGACGCUUACGUACAACUUCAUUACCGGUCCCUACAAUGGAAGCACAUUCAGUGUCAUUGGUCGGAAUCCAAUUGCAAAUGAGGUUAGGGAAAUGCCAGUCGUCGGAGGCACGGGGAUGUUCAGGCUGGCUCGCAGAUACUGGUUAGCCAAGACAUAUUUGACGAACCAAAUGGAUGCAAUUAUCAGAUACAAUGUUACCUUGUUACACUACUAAAACUAGAGCCACUUGAUUUUUAUAUAUACUAGCGAGCGAUGUGCUUGUAAUUUUACAUGUAAAAUUUUAGACGAUUUGAUGAAUAAUAAAGAUGGGUUGAAUUUAUAAC